AGUAAAUUAGUACCAAAUCCAGUCCGACGAUGGCUAUUUCCAUAACUCAUUUCUUCUCCUUCUCCUCUUCAUCGCUCUAUCCGUCUCCAUAUUCAUCAGGAAAAUCGAGAAUCAUUCCCUUAAGAAACCUUCAUCUCCAUGGCAGACCGCCUUCAUCUCCAUCCUUUUCGAAACUAAACCGAGGGGUUCAAUUCAUAUAUCUAUCUCCUAUAACCGUCAACAGUCAGAGAAGUCACGUAUCAUCUCUCUCUGCCCACCAAGCUUCACCAACUAAUGGCGAAGAAACGAAUUCAAAGCACCCACCAGAUGUAAAAACCCUGAUUAAAGCUUAUAAACAAGCUCUCUUCAAUGGAGACCAACUCACCCUUACAGAAAUCGAAUUGUUUUUCUGCGAAAUCGAGAAGGAAAAGAAUAGAUUCGACCACAAGGUUUUAUCAUUAUCAAUGAAGAUAGCUUCAGAGAAGGACACGAAAAUUAGGUUGCAGGCUGAUUUUGACAAUACAAGGAAAAAGCUUGACAAGGAUCGGCUUAGCACAGAGUCGAACGCAAAAGUGCAAGUCAUGAAGAGUCUCUUGCCACUCAUUGAUAGUUUUGAGAGCGCUAGGCAACAGAUUAGACCCGAUACAGAAACGGAGAAGAAGAUCGAUACAAGUUAUCAGGGAAUUUACAGGCAAUUCGUUGAAGUGUUGAGACACCUUCGUGUUAAAGCCAUUCCAACUGUGGGCAAGCCAUUUGAUCCUUUGUUGCACGAGGCUAUUUCGCGUGAAAAAUCUGAGGCGGUUAAGGUAGGGAUGAUAACCGAGGAGCUUACCCGGGGUUUUUGUCUAGGAGAUCGGGUUCUGAGACCAGCAAAGGUUAAAGUCUCUCUAGGACCCAUCAAGAAGAAGACUGUUUCACCUGCUGACGAGACUACACCUUCUGCUUGAGCUGAUGUUUGGUCAAUGGUUCUCUAUGUAUCUCAUGUUUAAGUCUAUUUCUUUCCUUUUCAGUGGUAAAACAAACACAUCUAUUUCUGAAUAGGUAGUUCGUUUGCUGCUUAGAGGUGGUUUUACUCAUGGAUUUGAUCAGAAGCUUCAGGUUCUUGUCGUCUGUUUUGGUCUUUAACAAAUACGUUGGCUGAUGGUGAGAAGAAAGAUUAUACUUCCUCUCAGCCGGUGGUGAGAGCAAUCACUUUCCAGCAGGUGACUAACUUUUUUUUUUUAAAAGAGAUUGUUAAAGCUACGCACCUAGUCUUAUAAAUAGACUAAUAAAACCUACAACUCAGAAAGAGAUAACACGUCUGUAUUUUUUUUGGUCAACUAAAAACAAUGUUAAAAGGGUUUAGAUUCGUUUAA